UAUAGUACAAAAUUGACCCCAAAAAGUAUGUAUUACAUAAGGGAAUCAAACAUCUGCGCAUGCGUGAAUUGGUAGUCCACAAGGAGAGGGGACAUAAGCAAUAUGGCCCAUCCAAUUAAAAGAAAUGUGUUUCGAUUCAAUCAAUCAGACAUGAAUGUCGGACAUCAGGAUAGUACAUACUUUUCGGGGUCAUGUAUUGAGUUGGAGUUAGCAGUCCAGUUAUACUAUAGAAGUCUGUGGGCGUAACCGGCCUAGUGGCAGUGCUGCGAGAUCCAGAGAAUUUUUGGGCAUGCGCAUUGAGCAAAUGCUGUGCAUGCGCUGUAGCGUGGGAAAUUCUCUGGAUUUCGCAGCACUGCCUAGUGGCUGCGCUCCCAGGUUUCUCUCUGGUCUGGAACUAGUAAUUCCAAUGAAGUAUCAGACGUAAGGCGCAAAUGAUGAGCAGGCCCGUGAAGAAAUUUGUGCUGUUUAUGGACGAGAAUCGUUAUCAAAAGCAACAGCCAAAAGAUGGUUCAGUCGCCUUCGUUCUGGAAAUGUCGAUGUCCAAGAAGCUCCUCGCAUUAGGCGACCAAUCACAAAAAAAGUGAAUGGUAUUCUGGCAAAAGUCGAGCAAGACCGGCAUAUAAGCAGUCAUGACAUUGCCAAUGACCUAAACAUCCAUCACCAAACAGUGUUAAGCUAUUUGGAGGAAGCUGGCUACAAAAAGAAGCUCGAUGUUUGGGUGCCACAUGAUCGGACUCGAAAAAAUGUAUUCGAUCGAAUUUCUAUCUGCGAAUCUCUACUGAAACGUAACAAAAUCGAGCCAUUUCUGAAACGGUUGAUCACGAAUGAUGAAAAGUGGAUAACCUACGGCAACAAUGUGCGAAAAAAAUCGUGGUCGAAGCAAGGAAAAGCUCCACAGUCUGUGGCAAAGCCCACACGCCUACACGCCCUGACGCCCAAGAAGGUUAUACUGUGUGUUUGGUGGGAUUGGAAGGGCAUCGUGCAUCACGAGCUGCUGCCGCCAGGCAGAAAGAUAGACUCGGACCUGUACUGUCGACAAUUAGCGCGAUUGCAGCUAGCAAUUCAAAAGAAACGGCCGGAACUGAUCAGCAAAAUGGGUGUCGUAUACCACGCUGACAAUGCCAGACCGCAUACAUCUUUAACGACUCGUCAGAAAUUGAGAGAACUUGGCUGGGAGGUUUUAAUGCAUCCACCGUAUAGCCCGGACCUGACACCGUCAGACUAUCAUUUGUUUCCGUCUCUGCAGAACUCCUUGAAUGGUGUUAAAUUAGUUUCGAAAGAGGCCUGUAAAAACCACGUGGCACAAUUUUUUGACCAGAAACCACAGGAGUUCUAUAGCGACGGGAUUAUGGUGUUGCCGGAAAAAUGGCAGAAGGUCAUCGAACAAAAUGGUGCAUAUGUGGUUUCAUAAUGUUAUUUUCAAAUAACAAUAAAUGUAUUCUCAAUUUUGACCUCCAAA